GUAUAGGGUGUGACGCCUGCCCGGUGCUCGAAGGUUAAUUGAUGGGGUUAGCAUUAGCGAAGCUCUUGAUCGAAGCCCGAGUAAACGGCGGCCGUAACUAUAACGGUCCUAAGGUAGCGAAAUUCCUUGUCGGUUAAAUACCGACCUGCAUGAAUGGCGUAACGAGAUGGGAGCUGUCUCAAAGAGGGAUCCAGUGAAAUUGUAGUGGAGGUGAAAAUUCCUCCUACCCGCGGCAAGACGGAAAGACCCCGUGGACCUUUACUACAGCUUGACACUGCUAUUUGGAUAAGAAUGUGCAGGAUAGGUGGGAGGCUUUGAGUAAUAGACGCCAGUUUAUUAUGAGCCGUUGUUGAGAUACCACUCUUUCUUAUUUGGGUAGCUAACCAGCUUGAGUUAUCCUCAAGUGGGACAAUGUCUGGUGGGUAGUUUGACUGGGGCGGUCGCCUCCCAAAUAAUAACGGAGGCUUACAAAGGUUGGCU
rnacentral:rRNA from 1 species